rnacentral:rRNA from 1 species
CACUUUGCCUUUAUGACAAAUGUGAGAUGCAGUGUAUGGAAUGUCAAAUUUCUAGUAUGAGAAAUUAACGAUUUAAGUCCUUCUUAAAUGAGGCCAUUUACCCAUAGAGGGUGCCAGGCCCGUAUAACGUUAAUGAUUAUUAGAUGAUAUUUCCAAAGAGUCGUGUUGCUUGAUAGUGCAGCACUAAGUGGGUGGUAAACUCCAUCUAAAACUAAAUAUAACCAUGAGACCGAUAGUAAACAAGUACCGUGAGGGAAAGUUGAAAAGAACUCUGAAUAGAGAGUUAAAUAGUACGUGAAACUGCUUAGAGGUUAAGCCCGAUGAACCUGAAUAUCCAUUAUAGAAAAUUCAUCAUUACGAUUUUAAUAAAAAUAUAAAUAUUAUAAUAAUGGUGUGCAUUUUUUCUAUAAAAGGACAUUGUAAUCUAUUAACAUAAAAGUAUUUAUCAUAAGAUCAUUAGCAAAAGUUUACUCAAAUUAUUUUACUUACAAUUUAACAUAGAAUAAAUGCUUUUGAUUUGAUAAAGUGUUGAUAGAUUUAUUAUAUAUAGUGCUUAAAUAUAUAAUAUUGUAUAAUAUCAUAUUAAUUAUUAAUUUUUAUGUUUAUUAUAUGCACUUAUAUGAUUAACAAUGCGAAAGAUUCAGGAUACCUUCGGGACCCGUCUUGAAACACGGACCAAGGAGUCUAACAUAUUUGCAAGUUAUUGGGAAUAAAAACCUAAUAGCGAAAUUAACAUAACUUAAAAAUAAUAAUGGGAUUAGUUUUUAAUCUAUUUUAUAGGUUAUUAAUUCAAUCCCGGGGCGUUCUAUACAGUUAUGUAUAAUAAUAUUUAUAUUAUUUAUACCUCUAACUAGAGCGUACCUUGAGCAUAUAUGCUGUGACCCGAAAGAUGGUGAACUAUACUUGAUCAGGUUGAAGUCAGGGGAAACCCUGAUGGAAGACCGAAACAGUUCUGACGUGCAAAUCGAUUGUCAGAAUUGCAGGAUAGG